AGGUUGUGAUUCCAAAUCUGUUGGUGGUGGUGCUUGUUAUUGUUGUUUAAAGUGUCUCCAAAACCAUUCUUUUAAAGGCUUUGUUGAUUUCUUUUGCAAGGUUGACAUGAAUCCCUCAAAAACUCUGAAGUAUGAAAUGGGGCAAGCUUCAAAAAUCCCCAAGUAUGAACUCAUUCAGCCAGGUGCCUUAGCAAAGGUACUAGGUCAAAGUUUGAAAACUAUGAGCACUAUCAGAGUUAUUGCUGAACAAAGGACUCUGAUUGCCAAAAAUAGAAGUUACUAUGCAACAACUUCAAAGUUGAAUAAGCUAGCAAAUAAUAGUUUCCAUGUGCAUCCUUGUUUAGAGGAAAAGGAAGACAAUGCUCCCCUCCAUCAAGAAGCUGAAGUGAAUCAACACAUUUUGACCAGUGAUGCAAGGGUCAUGGACAAAGCUUAAGGAUUAAUGCUGCAAAAAGGCCUAUGAUUGGCGAAAAUAGAAAUACUACAACAACUUCUACUCAAAACAAGCCAGGAAAGAAAAGUAUCCCUCUGUCUCCUAAUUUUAAUCCAAUGGAAGACAAUGACACCCUCUUUCUAGAAGUGGAAGUGACUCUAGAUACUCAAAGAAGUGAUCAUUUGCUAAAGAGUCCAUUUGAAUAUGAUAAGUCCAAAAAAGUGAUUGAAGUGCCUCGAGUUGCCCAAAGAAGUGAUACUACUAUUUUAUUUAUUUGUGCAACUUCUUUUUGUUAGUUGAAUUGAAGUCUUUUUUUUUUUACUUGCACUUAAAUUUGCAAGUCCGUUUGAAUAUAGAAAAGCAAAAAAAC